AUGUCUUUUAAGGUCUUUCCACUACGCGAGGAAAGACCUUUUUGUUCUUUCUAACGUUUUUUUUUCUUCCAGCAUUUUUUUUGGCACGCCCUCCUACCACUUCUAUUGGAAUUAUCAAUACCAAAUUUGAACCAUCAAUAGAACACAUCAUGAAGUUUUACCAGAUGAACUUUUUUUUUAGGAUUUCAUCAUCACCUGUAGAAGUUAUCUCCAAUUUAUUGAUUUUUGUCAACAUGGCCCCCCUCGUUGUUUUUAAAAAUAUCAUGACUUUAUUGGGACAAUAGGUAGAUCUCAUCUUGAUGUAUUACCAUAUGAGGCUGCAAAGGAUUUCAUCAUCCCCUAUGAGAGUUUACUGCGUAGCAGGUCUAUUACAACAUAUCUUUAUUGUUAACAUGCAACAGCUGCUUUACAAAAUCUACAAACUGAAAAAUAAAAGUGCAUUGACUAGUCGUUGGAAUCGGAUAACCAUUGUAUCACGUAUCCGUGUUGACAAACAGGAAGAUCCACAAAUGUCAACAGGUGAUAGAUAAAUUUUCAAUGGUUCGAAUUCCUCCAAUCAAUGUAUUGUUCCUGUAUGAAAGUACAUUCGAUCUUUCGAAACAUUAAACAAAAUGGUAAUUAACGGC
rnacentral:lncRNA from 1 species